AGCAGGAAGACACAAGGCCUACUCCUAGCUCUCUCUCGUGGGAUGGCCCUGCCCGGGCCAUGGGCACAACACACAAGCCUGUGUACCCACCACGACUUAACAAUAAAAUUGACGAGCAGAAUCACAGUAACAUCCUCCAUCGCUGAAUGUCUAAGUAGUGCUGUAAGAUACAAAAGAAGCAGAGCACUCCCGGACCUGCCUCAAUUUUGGCCAGACGAUACAAGAACUCAUGGACUACAAGAUACUCGUGGUGAACGAGGAUGUAAGUCAUCCUACCGUCACGGCAUGGUGAACGAGGAUGUAAGUCAUCCUACCGU